GCGCUGGUUUGGCCCAGGGGAUACUUCGCAAUUCAAUACUCUUUGAAAGCCUCACCUCUCCUGCAGAGGUUCGAACCCCGGGCGCUGUCCAGCGUUUUG
ensembl:vault_RNA Vault Vault RNA